AAAAAAGUCGUAACAAGGUCUCCGUUGGUGAACCAGCGGAGGGAUCAUUA
rnacentral:rRNA from 1 species